GCGAGUCAAGGUGUCUUCGGACGCCGGCGUACGGCUCAGUAACACGUAGGUAACCUACCCUCAGGACUGAGAUAACCCCGGGAAACUGGGGCUAAUAUUAGAUAGAUAAAAGAUACUGGAAUGUUCUUUUAUCCAAAGCUUUUGCGCCUGAGGAUGGGCCUGCGUCCGAUUAGGUUGUUGGUGGGGUAAUGGCCCACCAAGCCUACGAUCGGUACGGGCAGUGAGAGCUGAAGCCCGGAGUUGGGGACUGAGACAAGGCCCCAGGCCCUACGGGGCGCAGCAGGCGCGAAACCUCUGCAAUGCGGGAAACCGUGACAGGGGGAUCCCAAGUGCUCAUGCAUUGCAUGGGCUGUUCUUUGGUCUAAGUAACCAGAGGAGUAAGGGCUGGGCAAGACCGGUGCCAGCCGCCGCGGUAAUACCGGCAGCUCAAGUGGUAGCCGCGAUUAUUGGGCCUAAAGCGUU
rnacentral:rRNA from 1 species